AACGAACGCUGGCGGCAGGCCUAAAACAUGCAAGUCGAGCGAACCUAGCUUGCUAGGUGAGCGGCGAACGGGUGAGUAACGCGUAGGAAUCUGCCUGGUAGUGGGGGACAACGUUCCGAAAGGAACGCUAAUACCGCAUACGCCCUACGGGGGAAAGUGGGGGAUCUUCGGACCUCACGCUAUCAGAUGAGCCUGCGUCGGAUUAGCUAGUUGGUAGGGUAAAGGCCUACCAAGGCGACGAUCCGUAACUGGUCUGAGAGGAUGAUCAGUCACACCGGAACUGAGACACGGUCCGGACUCCUACGGGAGGCAGCAGUGGGGAAUAUUGGACAAUGGGGGCAACCCUGAUCCAGCCAUGCCGCGUGUGUGAAGAAGGCCUUCGGGUUGUAAAGCACUUUAGGUCGGGAGGAAGGUUCGCUGGCUAAUAUCCAGCGGAAUUGACGUUACCGACAGAAUAAGCACCGGCUAACUCCGUGCCAGCCGCCGCGGUAA
rnacentral:rRNA from 1 species